CAGGGCUUUUCCAACAUUUUGCAACAUCUGGAGAGACAUCUCAUCUGUACUGCUCUCCGUAAUAUGCCCACAUUAUGGCCGCUAAACUUCUUUUAAUUCUUAGCAUGGCCUACACAGCCCUGAAUUGAGAGGCUCUAGCCCAGUUUUCAGCUCCAGCUUCUUCCUCAGUGCUCUCAUUCAGUAAGUUUUAGCCAUGGCAGGCUUCUCUCUUCUGAAACCAGCCAAGCUCCUUUCUGCAUCAGGACCUUUGCACAUGCAGUUCUUAUGCCUGAAAUACUCUCCCAAUGCUCCUAAGUCCAUCUAGAUCUGUAGGUCUAUAGUAAAUGUUACUGACUCAGGAGGCCUUCCUCUUCCCACUCCUAGACCAGACCAGACUGGAUUUUAUCCUUUACAUUGAUCACAAACUCCAGUUUCCCACCUAGAACUAAUUUAGAAUCAGUGUUGCCUUAAUAGGAUCAAAGACGAGGUUCGCCCUUUCCACUUCAUUUCAUUUGUGAAAGGAGUCCCCAGUUCUGUUUAUGUCUGUGAUUGAAAACAAUCACCAGCUACUGGGCCUGCCCACUCCAGUCCCGGUCCCUGCAGCCCUGCACAUCAGGUCCUGCCACCUUACCAUGACAAUGUCACUUCAACAAGCACAAAACUCAUAGAAAAACCACCUGCUUCUGCACAGUUUUGGACUUGGGGCUGUGGAAAUUCUCUAGAUUCCUUCCCAGUUCACAGAGUUUGUAACCAGGUUGCUGCCUACUGCAUUACAGUCUCGAAAUCUGAGCAACAAUCUCAACCAUGAAAUGCAAACUCAACAUAAUUCCCGGCUGGAGAUUGUGGGUUCUUCUCGAAAAUCUAUGGGCUCAGCUUCCCAGCUUUGCUGGGAGUCUGGCUAUAAAUUACAUUUAUAGGAAUGUUAUCACAUUAUUGAAAAGUAGGAAAGCCCUCCUGUUUUUGUAAUCUUGCUAUGAAUGAGCUUCUAUUUGCUGCCUCUCCCAUCCUCUUCCAGAACUUUCAAGCCCUUUAAUACCUCCUUCUAGAUCUUUCCCAUAGUCACCCCUUAAUUUAAGAAUAUGAAACAUGCUACAAAUGAAGUCACAUCCCUACCAGAUUAUUAUUCUGUUUUGAUAUCUGUCAGGAGCUAAUAGUUUUCUGGGCCAAGCAAAUGUAAAUAACAUGUGGAUUUGAUUUCUUGGACUAUUGCUAACAGGGAAACUGCUGCUUCCUUAUCAUUUUUAUAACAUCUCUAUGUCUUUCAUACAGUACUGCUUUCAAAUGCAUGAGAGCCCAACUGCUCUUCAAAUUUUUUUCUUUUUAUUUCAAUAUAAUUGAGAUAAUACAUAUUACAUUGUAAAUUUAAGUUAUAUGUGUGUUGAUUUGAUACAUUUAUACAUUAUACUAUGAUUACUAACACUAGUGUUAGCUAACACCUCUAUUCUGUCACAUAAUUAUCAUUUUUUUUGUAGUAAGACCGUUUAAGAUCUAGUCUCUUAGCAACUUUAACGCAUAUAGUACAGUUUUGUUGACCAUGAUGUGCAUUACAUCUCUAGGACAAAAUUAUUUACUAUUUGCAAAUUCAUAUCCUUAAACAUUUCCCCAGUAUCCACCCCCAGCCCCUGGUCACCAGCAUCCUAAUCUCUGUUUUAUGAGUUCAACUUUAGAUUCCACAUAGAAGUGAUAUGAUAGUCUUUAUCUUUCUCUGUCUGACUUAUCUCUCUUAGCAUAAUGCCCUCAAGAGGUCCAUCUAUGUUGUUGCAGAUGGAAGGAUUUCCUAUCUGGUGUGUAUCUAUAUCUGUUUCACUAGCACUAUGUAUCUGUAGAUCUCAUGUCUUCUUUCACCAUUCAUCCAUUGAUGGACACUUAAGUUGUUUCCAUAUCUCAGCUAUUAUAAAUAUUAUUGCAAUAAACAUGGUAGUGCAGAUAUCUUUUCAAUAAAAAUCCUGCUUUCAUUUUCUUUGGGCAUAUACCCAGAAGUGAGGUUGCUGGGUCAUAUGCUCUUCAAACUUUGCAAACUGUUUUGCUCUUUAAGAUCUGUGAGUUAUAAAAUAGUCCCCAAGACUGGACCCCCCUCCUUUCCCAAGUGGCUGUUGAACAUGCUUGACCUCCUUUGGACCCUCCACAUGGAGCUCUAGGGGCAGCGAAUAACUGGGAAAGGCCACAUACAGUGAUCCCACCUCAUCCUUAUUUACGUGGUAUGCCCAGGCCUCAGAACACCGGCAUCCUUCAUGGGGACCGCUGGAGCAGUCUUCCCAUGGUUUUUCUACUUCUGGUCUCCAUCCUAUAAUCCAGGUCUCCUCUCUUGCCAGAACAAACUGUCUGAGACUAAAUCUGACCUUGUCACUCCCUGUCUAAAAUCCUUCAGGGCAUCCUUUGUUUUUAGGAUAAAGUAGAGACCCUUACUUGGGAGACCAAAUGCUCCAGGGCCCAAUCCUGGAGUUUUACUUAGGUCUCUUCCAGCGGUUUAUAAUAAUUCCACUGCCAGGCUGGCAUUUCCCUACAAUGUUGCUGAUGUCUUUUCCUUUCUCUUCCAUAUUUUCUUACUUCCUUUCUCUACGUUAGUAACUUCACACUCAUCUUACAGGAUCCAAAUACAUGUAAAUGUGUAUAUACAGAUACCAGGGGCUCCCUAUAAGAGGCGAGAAAUGCAUCAAGGUGAGAAUGAGACCCUGUGAGUGGGCAGAACAGAGAAUCAGGAAAGAUCAGAGCUUCCCCAUUCACCAGUUCCUCCUGGGUAAUAUAGGGUGCAUCAGUUAGUGAAGGCAACAGUGAACAAAAUGAUGCAGAUUGGGAGGCUUAAAUGACAUAAAUUAAUUCUUCUCACAAUCCUGGAAGUUGGAAGUCUGAGAUCAAGAUGUUUGCAGGUCUAGUUCCUUCUGAGGUCUCUCCCCUUGGUUUGUAGACAGAGGUCUUCUUCCUGUAUCUUCACAUGAUUUUCCCUCUGUGCUGUCAGUGUCCAAAUGUCAUCUUAUGAUGAGGACAUCAGUUGUACUGGAUUAGGGCCUAUUCUAAUGACCUCAUUUUAACUCAUUUUAACCCUAUAAAGACCCUAUCUCCAAAGAAGGUUACAUUCUGAAAUAUGAGGGUUAGGACUUCAGCAUACAAAUUAAGGGGGUAGGAACACAUAAUGGAGCAGUGGGUGGGGGUGGGUGUCCUUCCUCUCUCUGGUCUCAAUUUAAUCUCUUCAUCUGAGUUCCUGUCCUGGCUCAAAGGGUUAAAGACCCAGUGUUGUCUCUGUGAAGAUGCAGGUCUAAUCCCUGGCCUUGCUCAGUGGGUUAAGGAUCAGGUGUUGCCAUGGCUGUGGUGUAAACCACAAGUGUAGCUCUUAUUUGACCCCUGGACUAGGAACUUCCAUAUGCCACAGACUCAGC
rnacentral:lncRNA from 1 species